GCAGUCGUGGCCGAGCGGUUAAGGCGACAGACUAGAAAUCUGUUGGGGUCUCCCCGCACAGGUUCGAAUCCUGUCGACUGCG
rfam:Tropilaelaps mercedesae isolate Wuxi-XJTLT scaffold0000014626, whole genome shotgun sequence.